rnacentral:rRNA from 1 species
UACGUAGGGGGCAAGCGUUGUCCGGAUUUAUUGGGCGUAAAGAGCGUGUAGGCGGCUUGGUAGGUCUCGCGUCAAAACCUGAGGCUCAACCUCAGUUCGCGUGGGAAACCACCUAGCUAGAGUCCGGAAGAGGAGAACGGAAUUCCCGAGUGUAGCGGUGAAAUGCGCAGGAUAUUGGGAAGAACACCAGUGGCGAAGGCGGUUCUCCGGGACGGUACUGGACGCUGAGACGCGAAAGCGUGGGGAGCGAACAGGA